AACGCGAAGAACCUUACCAAGGUUUGACAUGCAGGGAAAAGCCGUAGAGAUAUGGUGUCCGUAAGGGUCCUGCACAGGUGGUGCAUGGCUGUCGUCAGCUCGUGUCGUGAGAUGUUGGGUUAAGUCCCGCAACGAGCGCAACCCUCGUCCUAUGUUGCCAGCGGGUAAUGCCGGGGACUCAUAGGAGACUGCCGGGGUCAACUCGGAGGAAGGUGGGGAUGACGUCAAGUCAUCAUGCCCCUUAAGUCUUGGGCUGCAAACAUGCUACAAUGGCCGGUACAGAGGGCUGCGAGACCGCAAGGUGGAGCGAAUCUCAAAAAGCCGGUCUCAGUUCGGAUUGGGGUCUGCAACUCGACCCCAUGAAGUCGGAGUCGCUAGUAAUCGCGAAUCAGCAACGUCGCGGUGAAUACGUUCCCGGGCCUUGUA
rnacentral:rRNA from 1 species